rnacentral:rRNA from 1 species
UACGGGGGGGGCAAGCGUUGUUCGGAAUUACUGGGCGUAAAGGGCCAGUAGGCGGCCAACUAAGUCGGAUGUGAAAUCCCCAGGCUUAACCUGGGAACUGCAUCCGAUACUGGAUGGCUUGAAUUCGGGAGAGGGAUGCAGAAUUCCAGGUGUAGCGGUGAAAUGCGUAGAUAUCUGGAGGAAUACCGGUGGCGAAGGCGGCAUCCUGGACCAUUACUGACGCUGAGGCGCGAAAGCUAGGGGAGCAAACGGG